GGCCCUAUCGUCUAGUGGUUUAGGACGCCGCCCUCUCACGGCGGUAACAUGGGUUCGAAUCCCAUUAGGGUCA
rnacentral:tRNA from 1 species